rnacentral:rRNA from 1 species
GGUUAAUGCUAGCGGUGCGCCUAACACAUGCAAGUCGAGCGGGAUUUGAUUAUAGCUUGCUACAAUUAAUGAGAGCGGCGAACGGGUGAGUAAUAUGUUGGUACAUGCCUCUAAGUCGGGGAUAGCCCACUGAAAAGUGGAAUAAUACCGGAUGGUCUCGAGAGAGUAAAGAUUUAUCGCUUAGAGAGUGGCCUGCAUUCUAUCAGCUAGUUGGUGAGGUAAAAGCUCACCAAGGCAAUGACGGAUAAUUGAUCUGAGAGGAUGAUCAGUCACAAUGGAACUGAUACACGGUCCAUACUCCUACGGGAGGCAGCAGUGAGGAAUCUUCCACAAUGGGCGCAAGCCUGAUGGAGCGACACCGCGUGAAGGAUGACACAUUUCGGUGCGUAAACUCCUUUUAUAUAGGAAGAUAAUGACGGUACUAUAUGAAUAAGCACCGGCUAACUCCGUGCCAGCCGCCGCCGUAA